CUACUGUUAUAGCGCCACCUAUGGUCUGAUCUCCAUGAAACUUUGCAUGCUUGUUAAGAGUCAUCUGUUACAUGAUUUCACGAAGGCUCAUAAAGUUUUGAGUUUUCCUUUAGGUUUUAUAGGCUUUGGGGUAUGUUUGGCCAAACCCCUUUUUCUAAAUUACCCGGUUACAGCUAACCAAAGGACAAAAUUCAACAUUUUUUUAAUAAUUAUUGAUCUACAGAGUCCACAGAAUAUUACUGCAGUGGUUUGGUUCCGAUCGGGCAAAAAACCUAGGACUAGUUCGCAAAAGUAGGUUUUUAACAUAUUUGUCAAUAACAAUUGAACGAUUUGAUUGACAGCAAUGGUUCUUGAGGCAAAGUUGUGCAUUACGAGGAGAUCUAUCAAAUGAUAUGCAUAUUGUGUUGAUAUGUGAAACACCACGUGAUUACAGAGCCAUAAAACUCGUUAGCGCCAACUAGUGGCCGAUUUCUUUCAAAAUUCUUACAGACCUUAAGGUUCAUGAGUCGAACGUACCCAGUGAGUUUCGUUCCGAUCAACAUCCGUUAACCCUUUCAAAUAGGUGCUUAAAAUUGUUUGGCCAAUGGCGGCCAUGUUUUUUGAGAUAUGCAAAUGUCCUCAUAGGUACUUGUGCCCCUUCAGACCAAGACACUGCAUACCAAUUUUCAAGUCGAUCGAGCGAACGGUUGCCUAGUUAUAGCCAUUUAUGUGUUUUUUAAAUCUUAUUGCGCCCCCAAGUGGCAGAGCUGCGCAAUUUUUUUUAUUUGACCAAAGAUUGAGCUUAUACAUAUGUGUACCGAGUUUGGUGAAGAUAUCUCAUUCCGUUCAAGAGUUAUAGUCAAAAUAGCAUUUGGCUAACGUUAGGAUAGACGCUUUUUGGUGUACUGUUUCGCGUAAGAAUUGAAAUUUCAACUUUUUUUUGAUAAUUAUUGAUAUUGAGUGUCCAGGGAAUAUUUCUGAAGUGGUUUGAUUCCGAUUGGUUAAAAAUCCUAGGACUAGUUCGCAAAAGUAGGUUUCGGAUAUAGCUCGAUUUUGCGAGAAAACGGUGCGUCGUAGAGCAAAAAAUGCAGCUGUGCACUUUUGUUCGGGCUAACCCAAGGAUUGCAACGAUGCCUUGUUUUUGAGUCUACAGCUAACGGUUUACGAUCUGCGGCCAAAAAUGUCCAAAAUUUUUGUUUUUUGCGCUGUAGCGCCCCCGUUAGGCCGAUUGGGCUGAGACUUUGAUAAGUUCUCCCCAAAAUGAGCUCUACGAUCUGUCCAAAUUUCAGCUCUCUAGGCCUUACGGUUUGGGCUGCACGUUCAGUUCUAGGGCAGAAGAAUAAUAAUAAUAAUAAAAAUCCUAACAAUUACAAGAGGGUUUCAGCACUGCGUGCUUGAACCCCUAAUAAUAAUAAAAAUCCUAACAAUUACAAUAGGGUUUCAGCACUGCGUGCUUGAACCCCUAAUAAAAAUCCUAACAAUUACAAUAGGGUUUCAGCACUGCGUGCUUGAACCCCUAAAAAUCCUAACAAUUACAAUAGGGUUUCAGCACUGCGUGCUUGAACCCCUAAUUAAAGCUGCAAGCAGCAUUUUACCGGGGUUCAAGCACAUUAAGGCCUCUGAGGUGGUCAGAGCCAACCUGGAUGCAUGGAUGACAGUUAAACACAUCCAAAAUGGAGAACAGGCUAACAGACAGACACACACACUGAAAGUAAAUGAUUAGACUAAUAUAUGUAUACUCUAUAAGCAUAUGCACACACACACACACAUUUUGUUGCAGAUAUAGGUAUUUGAAAUAAGUUAUUGGUGGCAGUAAACUUAUUGCAAGUCUGCUCUUUUUUAGAGUUUAGAUGUCAUUUUCAGGUUAAACUGUAAUCAUAAUGUGGCAAAAUUGUUAAAACUGAUACAUCUGUAUGAACAAAAUGGAAAACAUCAAUUCAAUGAGAUUUAAAAUGUUAUAACAGUUAAUUUAUUAAUGUUUUGGCAUGAAUUCAUAAAAACAGUACUAGCUGAAUGAGCCAAUUAGUGGUCUUCUGCUGCCAUCUAGUGGUUAUAAAUUGCAUUUACUCAAACAACACUGUGUUUUUAAACAUAACUGUUAUAGUGUUGUUAUUUUUUUUUUUGCCCAAUCUCUCUUAAAUUUUGCAUGCUUGUUUAGAAUGAAAUUAUGCAUUAUUUUACACAGUUUUGAUAAUUUGUGGGCUUUCUGAUUGUAUUAAUAGGCCUUUGUGUGGACUAUGAAAAGAACAUAUUAUAAAAUGACUGGUUUAUAGUUGCCCAAAUGCAAUUGUUCAACAUGUUUUUGAUAAUUAUUGACCUUCAGAGUCUAGAGAAUUGUACUUCAGUGGUUUUAUUGAUUUUCAUCUUAAACUGUAUCACAAGUAUGCCAAAGUAACUUUUUUAAAUAAUCUUGAAUAUUUAAUUAACAGCUUUAUUGACAACAUUGGUCCCAGAGGC